rnacentral:rRNA from 1 species
GAUGAACGCUGGCGGCGUGCCUAAUACAUGCAAGUCGAGCGAACAGACGAGGAUCUUGCUCCUCUUACGUUAGCGGCGGACGGGUGAGUAACACGUGGAUAACCUACCUAUAAGACUGGGAUAACUUCGGGAAACCGGAGCUAAUACCGGAUAAUAUAUUGAACCGCAUGGUUCAAUAGUGAAAGACGGUUUUGCUGUCACUUAUAGAUGGAUCCGCGCCGCAUUAGCUAGUUGGUAAGGUAACGGCUUACCAAGGCAACGAUGCGUAGCCGACCUGAGAGGGUGAUCGGCCACACUGGAACUGAGACACGGUCCAGACUCCUACGGGAGGCAGCAGUAGGGAAUCUUCCGCAAUGGGCGAAAGCCUGACGGAGCAACGCCGCGUGAGUGAUGAAGGUCUUCGGAUCGUAAAACUCUGUUAGUAGGGAAGAACAAAUGUGUAAGUAACUAUGCACGUCUUGACGGUACCAAAUCAGAAAGCCACGGCUAACUACGUG